rnacentral:rRNA from 1 species
CAGCCGUAAACUAUGCUCGCUAGGUGUCAGGCAUGGCGCGACCGUGUCUGGUGCCGCAGGGAAGCCGUGAAGCGAGCUACCUGGGAAGUACGGUCGCAAGGCUGAACUUAAAGGAAUUGGCGGGGGGAGCACAACAACGGGUGGAGCCUGCGGUUUAAUUGGACUCAACGCCGGACAACUCACCGGGGGACGACAGCAAUAUGUAGGCCAGGCUGAAGACCUUGCCUGAAUCGCUGAGAGGUGGUGCAUGGCGUAGACGUCU